rnacentral:rRNA from 1 species
CCUACGGGAGGCAGCAGUGGGGAAUUUUGGACAAUGGGCGCAAGCCUGAUCCAGCCAUGCCGCGUGCGGGAAGAAGGCCUUCGGGUUGUAAACCGCUUUUGUUCGGGAAGAAAUUGACUGGGCUAAUACCCCGGUUAGAUGACGGUACCGGAAGAAUAAGCACCGGCUAACUACGUGCCAGCAGCCGCGGUAAUACGUAGGGUGCGAGCGUUAAUCGGAAUUACUGGGCGUAAAGCGUGCGCAGGCGGUUUCGCAAGUCAGAUGUGAAAGCCCCGGGCUCAACCUGGGAACUGCAUUUGAAACUACGAAGCUAGAGUGUGUCAGAGGGGGGUAGAAUUCCACGUGUAGCAGUGAAAUGCGUAGAGAUGUGGAGGAAUACCAAUGGCGAAGGCAGCCCCCUGGGAUAACACUGACGCUCAUGCACGAAAGCGUGGGGAGCAAACAGGAUUAGAUACCCUGGUAGUCCACGCCCUAAACGAUGUCAACUAGUUGUCGGGGAAGCAAUUCCUUGGUAACGCAGCUAACGCGUGAAGUUGACCGCCUGGGGAGUACGGUCGCAAGAUUAAAACUCAAAGGAAUUGACGG